UUGAACUGAAGAGUUUGAUCCUGGCUCAGAUUGAACGCUGGCGGCAUGCCUUACACAUGCAAGUCGAACGGCAGCACGGGCUUCGGCCUGGUGGCGAGUGGCGAACGGGUGAGUAAUACAUCGGAACAUGUCCUGUAGUGGGGGAUAGCCCGGCGAAAGCCGGAUUAAUACCGCAUACGAUCUACGGAUGAAAGCGGGGGACCUUCGGGCCUCGCGCUAUAGGGUUGGCCGAUGGCUGAUUAGCUAGUUGGUGGGGUAAAGGCCUACCAAGGCGACGAUCAGUAGCUGGUCUGAGAGGACGACCAGCCACACUGGGACUGAGACACGGCCCAGACUCCUACGGGAGGCAGCAGUGGGGAAUUUUGGACAAUGGGGGCAACCCUGAUCCAGCAAUGCCGCGUGUGUGAAGAAGGCCUUCGGGUUGUAAAGCACUUUUGUCCGGAAAGAAAUCCUUGGCCCUAAUAUGGCCGGGGGAUGACGGUACCGGAAGAAUAAGCACCGGCUAACUACGUGCCAGCAGCCGCGGUAAUACGUAGGGUGCGAGCGUUAAUCGGAAUUACUGGGCGUAAAGCGUGCGCAGGCGGUUUGCUAAGACCGAUGUGAAAUCCCC
rnacentral:rRNA from 1 species